rnacentral:rRNA from 1 species
UACGUAGGCAGCGAGCGUUGUUCGGAGUUACUGGGCGUAAAGCGUGCGUAGGCGGUGUCUUAAGUUUGUUGUGAAAUCUCCCGGCUUAACCGGGAGGGUGCGGCGAAUACUGAGAUGCUGGAGUGCGGGAGAGGUAAGCGGAAUUCCUGAGUGUAGCGGUGAAAUGCGUCAGAUAUCAGGAGGAACACCGGUGGCGAAGGCGGGUCUCUGGGCCGAUACAUGACGCUGGAGGAGCGAAAGCGUGGGGAGCGAACAGGAUUA